CAAGGGUUUAAGUUAAAUAAACUAAAGGCCUUCAAAGCCUUAAAUGGCCUCAAUCAACCCUUGU
rnacentral:tRNA from 1 species